GAUGAAGAACGUAGCAAAAUGCGAUAAGUAAUGUGAAUUGCAGAAUUCAGUGAAUCAUCGAAUCUUUGAACGCACAUUGCGCCCGCCAGUAUUCUGGCGGGCAUGCCUGUUCGAGCGUCAUUUCAACCCUCAAGCACAGCUUGGUGUUGGGACUCGCGUUAAUUCGCGUUCCCCAAAUUGAUUGGCAGUCACGUCGAGCUUCCAUAGCGUAGUAGUAAAACCCUCGUUACUGGUAAUCGUCGCGGCCACGCCGUUAAACCCCAACUUCUGAAUGUUGACCUCGGAUCAGGUAGGAAUACCCGCUGAACUUAAGCAUAUCAAUAAGCGGAGGA
rnacentral:misc_RNA from 1 species